CGUGUAGGCGGUCUCGCAAGUCGGAUGUGAAAGCCCUCGGCUUAACCGAGGAAGUGCGUUCGAUACUACGAGACUUGAGUGCCGGAGAGGGUGGCGGAAUUCCCGGUGUAGAGGUGAAAUUCGUAGAUAUCGGGAGGAACACCAGUGGCGAAGGCGGCCACCUGGACGGUAACUGACGCUGAGACGCGAAAGCGUGGGGAGCAAACA
rnacentral:rRNA from 1 species